rnacentral:rRNA from 1 species
CGCCCGUCGCUCCUACCGAUUGGGUGUGCUGGUGAAGUGUUCGGACUGGCUACGGCUGCGGGUAACCUUGGCCGAAGCUGGGAAGAACAUUAAACCCUCCCACCUAGAGGAAGGAGAAGUCGUAACAAGGUUUCC